UCUUGGUCUCCUCGUGACGAUUAAUUGCGAACUCCGCCAGGUCCGGAAGGAAGCAACGGUAGCAAUGACAUCGGGUGCGGGGUGCGGCUGGGGCAG
rnacentral:SRP_RNA from 1 species